CUCCCGUCCUCUCCCCUCUGACCACCUGUCUCUCCUCCUCUGCUGUCUCAUUCAGACCGUUCAAAGACAGGGUCGCUAAGAAAAUAAACACCCAAAGCACUACUUUAUUCUGAAGCCCACGUUAUAGCGUUUGUUGCCGUAAUUUGCCGUUAGCUUAGA